GAUGAACGCUAGCGGCAGGCCUAACACAUGCAAGUCGAGGGGUAGAAGGAGCUUGCUCCUUUGAGACCGGCGCACGGGUGCGUAACGCGUAUGCAAUCUACCUUGUACAGGGGAAUAGCCCAGAGAAAUUUGGAUUAAUGCCCCAUAGUAUAUAACCUUCGCAUGUUGGUUAUAUUAAAGUUCCAACGGUACAAGAUGAGCAUGCGUCCCAUUAGUUAGUUGGUAAGGUAACGGCUUACCAAGACGAUGAUGGGUAGGGGUCCUGAGAGGGAGAUCCCCCACACUGGUACUGAGACACGGACCAGACUCCUACGGGAGGCAGCAGUGAGGAAUAUUGGUCAAUGGUCGCAAGACUGAACCAGCCAUGCCGCGUGCAGGAAGACGGUCCUAUGGAUGGUAAACUGCUUUUAUACAGGAAGAAACCCUCCAACGUGUGGGAGCUUGACGGUACUGUAGGAAUAAGGAUCGGCUAACUCCGUG
rnacentral:rRNA from 1 species